rfam:Erinaceus europaeus unplaced genomic scaffold scaffold00740, whole genome shotgun sequence
CAAAAGGCCCUUUUCAGGGCCGCCCACUACUCUGAAGGAGCUGUAGU